rnacentral:rRNA from 1 species
AGAGUUUGAUCCUGGCUCAGAUUGAACGCUGGCGGAACGCUUUACACAUGCAAGUCGAACGGUAACGUGGGGAGGAGCUUGCUCCACCCCGACGACGAGUGGCGAACGGGUGAGUAAUACAUCGGAACGUGUCCGCUCGUGGGGGACAACCAGCCGAAAGGUUGGCUAAUACCGCAUGAGUUCUACGGAAGAAAGAGGGGGACCCGCAAGGGCCUCUCGCGAGCGGAGCGGCCGAUGACUGAUUAGCCGGUUGGUGAGGUAACGGCUCACCAAAGCAACGAUCAGUAGCUGGUCUGAGAGGACGACCAGCCACACUGGGACUGAGACACGGCCCAGACUCCUACGGGAGGCAGCAGUGGGGAAUUUUGGACAAUGGGCGCAAGCCUGAUCCAGCUAUUCCGCGUGUGGGAUGAAGGCCCUCGGGUUGUAAACCACUUUUGUAGAGAACGAAAAGACACCUUCUAAAAAAGGGUGUUGCUGACGGUACUCUAAGAAUAAGCACCGGCUAACUACGUGCCAGCAGCCGCGGUAAUACGUAGGGUGCGAGCGUUAAUCGGAAUUACUGGGCGUAAAGGGUGCGCAGGCGGUUGAGUAAGACAGAUGUGAAAUCCCCGAGCUUAACUCGGGAAUGGCAUAUGUGACUGCUCGACUAGAGUGUGUCAGAGGGAGGUGGAAUUCCACGUGUAGCAGUGAAAUGCGUAGAUAUGUGGAAGAACACCGAUGGCGAAGGCAGCCUCCUGGGACAUAACUGACGCUCAGGCACGAAAGCGUGGGGAGCAAACAGGAUUAGAUACCCUGGUAGUCCACGCCCUAAACGAUGUUAACUAGUUGUUGGGAUGUAACAAUCUCAGUAACGCAGCCAACGCGAGAAGUUAACCGCCUGGGAAGUACGGUCGCAAGACUAAAACUCAAAGGAAUUGACGGGGACCCGCACAAGCGGUGGAUGAUGUGGAUUAAUUCGAUGCAACGCGAAAAACCU